AGCGAACGCUGGCGGCAGGCCUAGCACAUGCAAGUCGAACGAACUCUUCGGAGUUAGUGGCGGACGGGUGAGUAACACGUGGGAACGUGCCUUUUGGUUCGGAAUAACUCAGGGAAACUUGUGCUAAUACCGAAUGUGCCCUUCGGGGGAAAGAUUUAUCGCCAUUAGAGCGGCCCGCGUCUGAUUAGCUAGUUGGUGAGGUAACGGCUCACCAAGGCGACGAUCAGUAGCUGGUCUGAGAGGAUGACCAGCCACACUGGGACUGAGACACGGCCCAGACUCCUACGGGAGGCAGCAGUGGGGAAUCUUGCGCAAUGGGCGAAAGCCUGACGCAGCCAUGCCGCGUGAAUGAUGAAGGUCUUAGGAUUGUAAAAUUCUUUCAACGGGGACGAUAAUGACGGUACCCGGAGAAGAAGCCCCGGCUAACUUCGUG
rnacentral:rRNA from 1 species